ACGAACGCUGGCGGCGUGCCUAACACAUGCAAGUCGAGCGGGAACCUCAGGAGGGGUAACCCUCCCGAGGGGAGAGCGGCGAACGGGCGAGUAACACGUGGGCAACCUGCCCCGGACACCGGGAUAACCCAGGGAAACCUGAGCUAAUACCGGAUACUCCGGCGUGAUCGCAUGGUCGCGCCGGGAAAGCUCCGACGGUCCGGGAUGGGCCCGCGGCCUAUCAGCUUGUUGGUGGGGUGACGGCCCACCAAGGCGACGACGGGUAGCUGGUCUGAGAGGACGGCCAGCCACACUGGGACUGGGACACGGCCCAGACUCCUACGGGAGGCAGCAGUGGGGGAUCUUGCGCUAAUGCGCGAAAGCGUGACGCAGCGACGCCGCGUGGGGGAUGAAGGCCCUCGGGUUGUAAACCCCUUUCGGCAGGGACGAAGGGAAACUGACGGUACCUGCAGAAGAAGUCCCGGCUAACUACGUGCCAGCAGCCGCGGUAACACGUAGGGGACGAGCGUUGUCCGGAUUCAUUGGGCGUAAAGCGCGCGUAGGCGGCUCGGAAAGUCGGGCGUGAAAUGCCGGGGCUCAACCCCGGGACUGCGUCCGAUACUUCCGAGCUGGAGGUAGGUAGGGGAGAUCGGAAUUCCUGGUGUAGCGGUGAAAUGCGCAGAUAUCAGGAGGAACACCGGUGGCGAAGGCGGAUCUCUGGGCCUUACCUGACGCUGAGGCGCGAAAGCUAGGGGAGCAAACAGGAUUAGAUACCCUGGUAGUCCUAGCCGUAAACGAUGAAUGCUUGGUGUCUGGGGUUUUAAAGUCCCCGGGUGCCGUCGCUAACGCUUUAAGCAUUCCGCCUGGGGAGUACGGUCGCAAGACUGAAACUCAAAGGAAUUGACGGGGACCCGCACAAGCGGUGGAGCAUGUGGUUUAAUUCGACGCAACGCGAAGAACCUUACCUGGGCUAGAAUGCCCGUGACAGCCCCAGAGAUGGGGUCUCCUUGGUAAAACUUGGCACGGUGCAAGGUGCUGCAUGGCUGUCGUCAGCUCGUGUCGUGAGAUGUUGGGUUAAGUCCCGCAACGAGCGCAACCCUUAUCAAUAGUUGCCAGCGGUUUGGCCGGGCACUCUAUUGAGACUGCCGUUGACAAAACGGAGGAAGGUGGGGAUGACGUCAAGUCCUCAUGGCCUUUAUGUCCAGGGCUACACACGUGCUACAAUGGCAAGUACAAAGCGCUGCAAACCUGCAAAGGGGAGCCAAUCGCAAAAAGCUUGUCUCAGUUCGGAUUGGAGUCUGCAACUCGACUCCAUGAAGUUGGAAUCGCUAAUAAUCGCAGAUCAGCAU
rnacentral:rRNA from 1 species